rnacentral:rRNA from 1 species
GACGAGCGCUGGCGGCGUGCUUAACACAUGCAAGUCGAACGAAGAGCGAUGGAAGCUUGCUUCUAUCAAUCUUAGUGGCGAACGGGUGAGUAACGCGUAAUCAACCUGCCCUUCAGAGGGGGACAACAGUUGGAAACGACUGCUAAUACCGCAUACGAUCUAACCUCGGCAUCGAGGAUAGAUGAAAGGUGGCCUCUACAUGUAAGCUAUCACUGAAGGAGGGGAUUGCGUCUGAUUAGCUAGUUGGAGGGGUAACGGCCCACCAAGGCGAUGAUCAGUAGCCGGUCUGAGAGGAUGAACGGCCACAUUGGGACUGAGACACGGCCCAGACUCCUACGGGAGGCAGCAGUGGGGAAUCUUCCGCAAUGGACGAAAGUCUGACGGAGCAACGCCGCGUGAGUGAUGACGGCCUUCGGGUUGUAAAGCUCUGUUAAUCGGGACGAAAGGCCUUCUUGCGAAUAGUGAGAAGGAUUGACGGUACCGGAAUAGAAAGCCACGGCUAACUACGUG